rnacentral:rRNA from 1 species
CUACGGGUGGCUGCAGUAGAGAAUCUUCCGCAAUGGACGAAAGUCUGACGGAGCGACACCGCGUGAAGGAUGAAGGCCUUAGGGUUGUAAACUUCUUUUCUGGGGGAAGAAAAUCUGACGGUACCCCAGGAAUAAGGUCCGGCUAAUUACGUGCCAGCAGCCGCGGUGAAUACGUAAGGGCCAAACGUUAUCCGGAAUUAUUGGGCGUAAAGCGUCCGCAGGUGGCAUAAUAAGUCUGUCAUAAAAUACCAGCGCUCAACGUUGGUGCCGUGGUGGAAACUAUUAUGCUUGAGGAUGGGAGAGGUAUAUGGAAUUGUGCAAGUAGGGGUAAAAUCCGUAGAUAUGCACAGGAACACCAAAAGCGAAGGCAGUAUACUGGACCAUUCCUGACACUCAGGGACGAAAGCGUGGGUAGCAAAAGGGAUUAGAUACCCCAGUAGUC